UUCUAAACACAAUAAUUUAUAGUUUAUAAUAAAUAAUUUUAUUGUGUCGUGUACACCAUCAAUUGUAUUAUCUACAUUUUUAGAAUAUGAUCUAUGCCCUGCAUUGUAUUUUUUAUGGAUCAAAAUUGUAUGAUAAUAUAUAAUAAAAUUGUUUUAUAUACUAUUUAAAAUGUUGUGCUAUAUAUUUUAUACUUUUCAACAUUUAUCAAUUUACGUUGAGCUAUUAUUUAUAUGAAAAUAUAUGUAAAAUAAUACAUUAAAUAUUAAUUUAUAUUUUAUUUAUAUAUUAUUUAAGUGAUUCUGUUAAAUAUAGGUAUAUUUUAUUAUUAUUUAUAUUGAUAGAAAGAUAAUAAUGCUAAAUGUUAGAAUUAUGUAGUUUCUUAAUGGCAUUAAAAUGUAAUUAAAUAGUUGUUUUAAUUUAUGAUCAAUUUAGGAAAUGAUUUAUUAAAUUAGGAAAUGACAAAUCAUACUUAAAUAUAGAUUCAGUAAUUACAGAGACGUUCUAGUGUACAUAAAUUGUAAAACUAAAGGGAAAAUCAAUUUUGUACUUUUUUUAAUAAUAAAGAUUUAAGAGUCAUUAUUGGGUCCAGGUGAACCUAUAUCUUCACCUCUUAUAUAUCCUACCUUAUUUAUGACAAAAAAAUAAAAAAUAAUACUAAUUAUCAAAUAAAGUUGACAUGAACUCUAAAUUCUAAAAUAUCAUUGAAAUUGUAAACACCAAAUCCUAAACUCUAGGGAUUAACACAAAACCUAUACUUCAAACUCUAAACUUUAGAUCCUAGAGUUAACUCUAAACCCUAGAAUUAACUCUCAACUUCAGGGUUAUCUUAAACCCUAAACGUUGUCAACAAAACCAUAAACCUUAAAAUCUAGAUCUUAAAUUCUAAACCCUAUGGUUUAGGAUCAACCCUAAGAUUUAACAUGAAUGUUGGGAUUUAACGUUAACCUUAGGAAUUAAAAUUUAGAGUUUUAGGUUUAGAGUUUGAACUAUAGAGUUUAAUGUUAAUUUUAGAAUUUAGAGUCUAGUGUUUAGAAUUUAAAUUAGGGUUUAAAGUUUUAUAAUGUCAAAUUUUUAAACAAUUAGUAUUAUUUUUUUAUUUUUAUUUUUUGUCAUAAAUAAGAUGUGACGUGGCAGAUUAUUAUUGGUUGUUAUAUAAGAAGUCUAUAGGGUAGGCCUGAGUAUUUUACCCGAUGCCCGAAACCGCACCCGAACCUGAUUCAAAAAAUCCGAACCGAAAUCUGAACCAAAGUAGCAAAAUACCCGAAUGGGUAUUGAGUUAGGAGAGAUUGGAUAUCCGAACCCGAACAUGUAAUAUCCGAACCCGAAUGGAUAUCCGAAGAUAACCGAACAUAUGUAUACAUAACCUUAUAUUUAUAGUUUACUUCUCUCAUUUUAUUCAAAAUAUUUAUAUUGAUGCUACACAUAGUUUAAGAUCAGAUAGUAUACAUAUAAUUAUGGACUAUUCAAUUGACAAACAUGUCAAGCUUCUUGUUUCGUACAUUAACAAAAAUUGUAUCUAUAAUUUCUAAACAAUAACCAAAUAAGUGUCUUUUAGAUUUAAAUCUUAUCUCCAAACAUAUUAAUCACUUAAACUAUUAAAAAUUUAAAAUUAAUUAAGUAAAGUGUAUUUUUUAAAAUACAAAAGAUUUUAAAUAAUGAAGAAUUUGAUUUUUUUUUCUUUCAAAAUCUUAAUAUCCAAACCCGGUCCACAAUAACUGAACUCGAACUAAAAAUACUUGAACCCGACUCGAAGUAUAAAACUACCCGAACGGGUUUUAUAUCCCUAUACCAAAAUACUCGAAAAUCUGAAAUACCUGAUCCGGAUAUCCGAACGUCCAUCCCUACUGUAAAGGGUGAACCCAAGAAUUAGUCUUUAUUUAAUUUUUUUCAUAUAAGAAAAAGUCAAAAGGAAAUAAAACCGAUUUUAACUAUUACUCGUAUAAUAUUUAAUGGAUGGAGGCAGAUUGUAAAGGAAGUAGUUAGGACACAAAAAUACAUUCAAUGCACAUAGAUAUAUAUAUAUAUAUAUGUGGUUUUCAUUUUUUGGGCAAAUAUAUAGAAACUCAUCCACAAAAUAUAUUAUAUAUGUGGUUUUCAAGCUCUGCAAAAUAUACAGAAAUUCAUCCACAGAAAAUAACAUUAUUGUUUGGUCAUGACCAAGGUUAAGCGUAAACCAAGACGGUGCGUUUGCUGCAUAGCCUCUGGUAUUGUCUUCGUUGUCUUCCUUGUCUUUAUCAGUGCCUUGAUCUUUGCAUUUGCCACUUACAAAGCCAAAACCAAAAACCAAUGAUUCGGAUCCAGACUACAGCUGUACAAAGCAUCUCCUCGCAUAUAGUAGUGUCCAUAUUCUUAUGAAGGAUUGUGUGAGUUUCAAACAUGAGACAGGGAAGACAGUAGUUUGUAUACAAGGAGAAGCAAGUGAGUAAUAUUGAUCUUCCCUCAGUCUGAAGUGGCAUAAGUGGAAAGAUUGUGUCGGAAACAAAGACAGAUCCCAGAGAAAAUCAAGUUGUUGGGACAUCUUCAAGAAACACACUUAGUUGCUAUAUUAUUGAAAGAUCAGCGUUGACUUCCCUUCCAUGAAAGUGCAGAGUCAAGAAUGUGAUUGUAUUCUUCAUUGUCUUCCUUAGCUUUCAUUCUUUCCACUCCACUUGAAUUUUUGUAUCUUGUUUUUUUUUUUUGAAGUACAUAUGUUAGAUUUAGAACUGCUUUCUGUUCAUGCUUAGAAAUUUGUAACAAAGUAGUAAAGAACAAACCAAGAAUUGAAUUCUA